rnacentral:lncRNA from 1 species
ACAAGUGACUAAUUGAGUAACCGGGGGUGGGUAUCACCAAUAUGCACCUUCGCGUAAAAAGGUUAGUGACUUUUUCAGGAAAGAAUAAAAAAGUGCUGCUGAAUAAAAUAAAAUAAAAUGCUCAAAGUAGGGCAAGUCACUCUUAGGGGUUGCAUUGAGCUUGAAACAAGAAUAAGCAUGAUUGAAUCAAAAACCUUUCUCUUGGCCAUGGUAGGUAAAAGGAAACAAGGUAAAGGGAGAACAACCUUAGUGCAUGUAGUCUACACUGUAAUACUUCAAUAUAGGAGUCUAGGGGGGCUGAUUAAGUUGUAAUACCCGGCGUGAGUCCGGUGUCGGCAUUCCUGUUUACCAGUGGAAUCCAGGAUGUCGAAGUAGGUUUUAUGGUCUUAAGUGCUGUGUUUGAUGAGAUGUUUUAGGCUAAGGGAAGUGAGUGUUUGAGUUGAAAUGACCUAAGGCAGGUGAGCCAAGUUCGGCCGCCGAAAGUA